rnacentral:lncRNA from 1 species
UCCGCUGGGGGGUCUUCGUACCCCGACCUUCGGGGGCAUAUUUUUGGGCGCGGCUGUGCCCGUGGCCUAGUUUUGGUACACGGAGGCCGCCCGCAAAGUCUGGGGCCAUUUCGAGUCCGGCGGACGAACUUCGCCCACGCCCCCCACCAAGGCUAUAACCCACCCGUUUUUUGACAAUUUUUCCGCUGGGGGGUCUUCGUACCCCGACCUUCGGGGGCACAUUUUUGGGCGCGGCUGUGCCCGUGGCCUAGUUUUGGCACACGGAGGCCGCCCGCAAAGUCUGGGGCCAUUCCGAGUCCGGCGGACGAACUUCGCCCGCGCCCCCCACCAAGGCUAUAGCCCACCCGUUUUUCGGCCAUUUUUCCGCUGGGGGGUCUUGGCACCCCGACAUUGGGGGGCUAAUUUUUGGGCGCGACUGUGCCCGUGGCCUAUUUUUGGCACAAGAGGGCCGCCCGCAAUGUCUGGGGCCAUUCCGAGUCCUGCGGACGAACUUCGCCCACGCCCCCCACCAAGGCUAUAGCCCACAAGUUUUUUGGCUAUUUUUCCGCUGGGGGGUCUUGGCACCCCGACCUUCGGGGGCUAAUUUUUGGGCGCGGCUGUGCCCGUGGCCUAUUUUUGGCACACGAGGGCCGCCCGCAAAGUCUGGGGCCAUUUCGAGCCCGGCGGACGAACUUCGCCCACGCCCCCCACCAAGGCUAUAGCCCACCCGUUUUUUGGCAACUUUUCCGCUGGGGGGUCUUGGCACCCCGACCUUUGGGGGCUAAUUUUUGGGCACGGCUGUGCCCGUGGCCUAUUUUUGGCACACGAGAACCGCCCGCAAAGUCUGGGGCCAUUCCGAGUCCUGCGGACGAACUUCGCCCACGCCCCCCACCAAGGCUAUAGCCCACCCGUUUUUUGGCCAUUUUUCCGCUGGGGGGUCUUGGCACCCCGACCUUCGGGGGCUAAUUUUUGGGCGCGGCUGUGCCCGUGGCCUAUUUUUAGCACACGAGGGCCGCCCGCAAAGUCUGGGGCCAUUCCGAGUCCUGCGGACGAACAUCGCCCACGCCCCCCACCAAGGCUAUAGCCCACCCGUUUUUUGGCAACUUUUCCGCUGGGGGGUCUUGGCACCCCGACCUUCGGGGGCUAAUUUUUGGGCGCGGCUGUGCCCGUGGCCUAUUUUUGGCACACGAGGGCCGCCCGCAAAGUCUAGGGCCAUUCCGAGCCCUGCGGACGAACUUCGCCCACACCCCCCACCAAGGCUAUAGCCCACCCGUUUUUGGGCCAUUUUUCCGCUGGGGGGUCUUGGCACCCCGACCUUCGGGGGCUAAUUUUUGGGCGCGGCUGUGCCCAUGGCCUAUUUUUGGCACACGAGGGCCGCCCGCAAAGUCUGGGGCCAUUUCGAGUCCGGCGGACGAACUUCGCCGACGCCCCCCACCAAGGUUAUAGCCCACCCGUUUUUUGGCCAUUUUUCCGCUGGGGGGUCUUGGCACCCCGACCUUCGGGGGCUAAUUUUUGGGUACGGCUGUGCCCGUGGCCUAUUUUUGUCACACGAGGGCCGCCCGCAAAGUCUGGGGCAAUUCCGAGUCCUGCGGACGAACUUCGCCCACGCCCCCCACCAAGGCUAUAGCGCACCCGUUUUUUGGCCAUUUUUCCGCUGGGGGGUCUUGGCACCCCGACCUUCGGGGGCUAAUUUUUGGGCGCGGUUGCGCCCGCGGCCUAUUUUUGGCACACGGAGGCGGCUCGCAAAGUCUCGUGCCAUUCCGAGUCCGGCGGACGAAGUCGGCCAGCCCCACCCCCCAAGGCUAUAGCGCACCUGUUUUUGUGGGCUUUUUCCGCUGGACGAACUUGGCGCCCCGGCCUUCGGGAGGUUAUUUUUGGGCGCGGCUGUGUCCGCGGCCUAUUUUUGGCACACGGAGGCGCCUCGCAAAGUCUCGCACUAUUCCUAGUCCGCCGGACGAAGUUGGCCUGCCCCACCCCCCAAGGCUAUAGCCCACCCGUUUUGGUGGCCUUUUUCGGCUGGACGAACUUGGCGCCCCGGCCUUCGGGCGGUUAUUUUUAGGCACGGCUGCGCCCGCGGCCUAUUUUUGGCACACGGGGGUGCCUCGAAAAGUCUCGCGCCAUUCCGAGUCCGGCGGACGAAGUUGGCCUGCCCCACCCCCCAAGGCUAUAGCGCACCCGUUUUUGUGGGCUUUUUCCGCAAGACGAACUUGGCGCCCCGGCCUUCGGGCGGUUAUUUUUGGGCGCGGCUAUGCGAAC